rnacentral:rRNA from 1 species
UACGUAGGGUCCAAGCGUUGUCCGGAUUUAUUGGGCGUAAAGAGCUCGUAGGCGGUUUCGUAAGUCGGAUGUGAAAACUCAGGGCUCAACCCGGAGACGCCAUCUGAUACUGCGAUGACUUGAGUCUGGUAGGGGAUCACGGAAUACCUGGUGUAGCGGUGAAAUGCGCAGAUAUCAGGUGGAACACCGAUGGCGAAGGCAGUGAUCUGGGCCAGUACUGACGCUGAAACGCGAAAGCUAGGGGAGCAAACGGG